rnacentral:rRNA from 1 species
AACGAACGCUGGCGGCAUGCCUAACACAUGCAAGUCGAACGAGACCUUCGGGUCUAGUGGCGCACGGGUGCGUAACGCGUGGGAAUCUGCCCUUGGGUUCGGAACAACAGUUGGAAACGACUGCUAAUACCGGAUGAUGACUUCGGUCCAAAGAUUUAUCGCCCAGGGAUGAGCCCGCGUAGGAUUAGCUUGUUGGUGAGGUAAGAGCUCACCAAGGCGACGAUCCUUAGCUGGUCUGAGAGGAUGAUCAGCCACACUGGGACUGAGACACGGCCCAAACUCCUACGGGAGGCAGCAGUGGGGAAUCUUGCGCAAUGGGCGAAAGCCUGACGCAGCCAUGCCGCGUGUAUGAUGAAGGUCUUAGGAUUGUAAAAUACUUUCACCGGUGAAGAUAAUGACUGUAGCCGGAGAAGAAGCCCCGGCUAACUUCGUGCCAGCAGCCGCAGUAACAC